UACGGGGGGGGUAAGCGUUGUUCGGAAUCACUGGGCGUAAAGGGCGCGUAGGCGGCUUUGUAAGUCGGGGGUGAAAGCCUGUGGCUCAACCACAGAAUUGCCUUCGAUACUGCAUGGCUUGAGACCGGAAGAGGUAAGUGGAACUGCGAGUGUAGAGGUGAAAUUCGUAGAUAUUCGCAAGAACACCAGUGGCGAAGGCGGCUUACUGGUCCGGUUCUGACGCUGAGGCGCGAAAGCGUGGGGAGCAAACAGG
rnacentral:rRNA from 1 species